rnacentral:rRNA from 1 species
AUAUGGAGGAACACCAGUGGCGAAGGCGGCUAACUGGCCUGUAACUGACGCUGAGGCUCGAAAGCGUGGGGAGCAAAUAGGAUUAGAUACCCUAGUAGUCCACGCCGUAAACGAUGGAUACUAAGUGUUGGAGAAAUUCAGUGCUGUAGUUAACGCAAUAAGUAUCCCGCCUGGGGAGUAUGCGCGCAAGCGUAAAACUCAAAGGAAUUGACGGGGGCCCGCACAAGCGGUGGAGUAUGUGGUUUAAUUCGAAGCAACGCGAAGAACCUUACCAGGUCUUGACAUACCGCGCAAAAGCACAGAGAUGUGUAAUAGUUAUGGCGGAUACAGGUGGUGCAUGGUUGUCGUCAGCUCGUGUCGUGAGAUGUUGGGUUAAGUCCCGCAACGAGCGCAACCCUUGUCUUUAGUUACCAGCAUUAAGUUGGGGACUCUAAAGAGACUGCCGGUGAUAAACCGGAAGAAGUGGGGAUGACGUCAAAUCAUCAUGCCCCUUAUGAUCUGGGCUACACACGUACUACAAUGGCGUAUACAGAAGGAAGCGAAGCACUGAUGUGGAGCGAAUCUCAGAAAGUACGUCUCAGUUCGGAUUGGAGUCUGCAACUCGACUCCAUGAAGUCCGAAUCGCUAGUAAUCGCGGAUCAGCAUGCCGCGGUGAAUACGUUCUCGGGCCCUUGUACACACCGCCGGUCAAACCAUGAGAGUUGGUAAUACCCGAAGCCGGUGGCCUAACCCGUUUAAAGGGAGGGAGCCCUCCAAGGUAGGACCGAUGAUUGGGG